GAUCAUGGCUCAGGAUGAACGCUGGCGGCGUGCCUAACACAUGCAAGUCGGGCGAAGCGGUUUUAAGGAAGUUUUCGGAUGGAAUUAAAACUGACUGAGCGGCGGACGGGUGAGUAACGCGUGGGUAACCUGCCUCAUACAGGGGGAUAACAGUUAGAAAUGGCUGCUAAUACCGCAUAAGCACACAGCUUCGCAUGGAGCAGUGUGAAAAACUCCGGUGGUAUGAGAUGGACCCGCGU
rnacentral:rRNA from 1 species